rnacentral:rRNA from 1 species
GUCUAUGGUCAUGCUACCCUGAACAAGCCCAGUCCCACCUGAUCUAGGAAGCUAAGGAGGGUCGGGCCUGGUUAGUACUUGGAUGGGAGACUACCUAGGAAGACCAGGUACUGUAGGUG